AUUGAACGCUGGCGGCAUGCCUUACACAUGCAAGUCGAACGGCAGCACGGGUGCUUGCACCUGGUGGCGAGUGGCGAACGGGUGAGUAAUACAUCGGAACAUGUCCUGUAGUGGGGGAUAGCCCGGCGAAAGCCGGAUUAAUACCGCAUACGAUCUACGGAUGAAAGCGGGGGACCUUCGGGCCUCGCGCUAUAGGGUUGGCCGAUGGCUGAUUAGCUAGUUGGUGGGGUAAAGGCCUACCAAGGCGACGAUCAGUAGCUGGUCUGAGAGGACGACCAGCCACACUGGGACUGAGACACGGCCCAGACUCCUACGGGAGGCAGCAGUGGGGAAUUUUGGACAAUGGGCGAAAGCCUGAUCCAGCAAUGCCGCGUGUGUGAAGAAGGCCUUCGGGUUGUAAAGCACUUUUGUCCGGAAAGAAAACCUCU
rnacentral:rRNA from 1 species